rnacentral:rRNA from 1 species
UGGGGAAUAUUGGACAAUGGGCGCAAGCCUGAUCCAGCCAUGCCGCGUGAGUGAUGAAGGUCUUAGGAUUGUAAAGCUCUUUCACCGGUGAAGAUAAUGACGGUAACCGGAGAAGAAGCCCCGGCUAACUUCGUGCCAGCAGCCGCGGUAAUACGAAGGGGGCUAGCGUUGUUCGGAAUUACUGGGCGUAAAGCGCACGUAGGCGGAUAUUUAAGUCAGGGGUGAAAUCCCAGAGCUCAACUCUGGAACUGCCUUUGAUACUGGGUAUCUUGAGUAUGGAAGAGGUGAGUGGAAUUCCGAGUGUAGAGGUGAAAUUCGUAGAUAUUCGGAGGAACACCAGUGGCGAA